rnacentral:rRNA from 1 species
GAUCAAUGGCUCAGGAUGAACGCUAGCUACAGGCUUAACACAUGCAAGUCGAGGGGCAGCAUGGUCUUAGCUUGCUAAGGCCGAUGGCGACCGGCGCACGGGUGAGUAACGCGUAUCCAACCUGCCUUACACUCUUGGACAGCCUUCUGAAAGGGAGAUUAAUACAAGAUGUUAUCAUGAGUAAGCAUUUUCACAUGAUUAAAGGUUUACCGGUGUAAGAUGGGGAUGCG